GGAAGGUUUGCUCAAUCGGGCCGAUUACAAAACAGAGAUGCCAGCACUCGAAUUCUAGCGGUUAGAAUUCGAUCUAUUAUCGGCUCGAUUUCCAUCCGCCUGCUCGAUUGCUCGAAAACCGACGAUAUUUUUUGCAGUGCUGCUAUGAACAAAACGAAACACGAGCAGUUUUCAAUUGCAGCAAUCUGGGCGCGUGUUUCGUUUUGGUGCGUGAUUGUUGUGUUGUGAAUGUUUCCGCUGUUUUUGUUCAGAAACAUUUUGAGCGCUGUAGUAAAAAAAACCAUUGUCCGGCGAUAAUUUAAUAAUAAGCAAGUAAACAUCGGCUCAUGCAAACAAAGCUUCCAAGGAAAUGUCCCGUGGGUAAAAGCUUUGGUGGAAUUUCAUCCGGACCCACUCAGAGGUGGUCGCUUCACUUGGAUGACUUUUAAUUAUUUUUUGGCGUGAUACUUAAAAGUGGAAAGCAAGAUCUCUUGCGCUUGCAGUUCCAUGAUGUUAACGUAUGAAGUCGUAUGGGGUAUAUGGUCGACUUUGCCGGUCCAUCAUUUUAAUGCAAAAAAAACGCGCACAACAGAAGAAGAGAAAAUCAAACAUAAAACUGGCCCCGUUUCCGUUUGUGAAGCUGUUUUCAUUAGUGGUUGCACUAAGCAAUAGCUAAUGCCUUCUUCAGCAGUCUCGCCAAACUGGAAAAGCGGUGAACUUGACGGUAAUCCCGGUGGAUUAGAACAAAGUCUUCGUGAAUCCUCCACUUCCAGCCGACAUAAUGGGAAGUUCAACACCGUCACUCAACUAUUAGCUUAAAAGCAGCAAAAACUGUUGGUGUCAGCAGCAACUGCAACAGCAGUAUCAGCAUCGGUUUUUCACCUGCUGCGUCGUCGAAACCUUCGGUGGCCGGAUCCAAUUUCGGGUCGACUAUGCGAGACCGCGCCCCCACAAUCUGCAACAAUAGGCUGUGCUAAAUCCUAAGUUCAGACAAUAGGUACAAACAGUCUUACUCCUGUUCGAUGUGAUCAUAGAAUGAAAGCUACAGAUUUAGAGGAAUACUAGAGCUGAGAACGAGUUGCUGGGUAUGAGGACGAUAACAGUAUUUGUCCUAAAGCUAUUUUUUAGUGAAGUGCAGCAGUUGUAAUUGGAUCCACUAGAUGCAACAUAAUAAAAGGGGCGCUAAGACGGACGAAUGCUGUGGUCCUGUGUGUAUUCAUUGUAUACCGUGGAUUCCUCGCAAUGCAUGUGAAGACGUUUUUGGCUCAGGAGAUUGCCAUCGAUGCCAGUAUCAAUCUGCAGGAUAAUUGCACAUAAAAAGAAUCGUCCGUUCAACAUGACUUUUUUUAACUCAUCGCUUUUGGGAUUUCUACAAACAGCUAAAUCGGACGAUGUCGAUUCGAUGAUGGACGUAAAAGAGCGAAAGGUUACUUAUAAUGGUAAGUUUUCCAAUUUUUUUAUUUAUUAUUUUCGAUAGAUUUUUUUUAUAAUCAAAAGAUCAAUACCAAAAUUUUUUUUGUCAAUUUAAAUUCAACUAAGAGGAUCAGGAUGCAACAUGAAAAACACAGAUUCAGAUUACUUAUUCAUUAAAUUAGCUCUGAGAACCAUAGUCAGAAUCAGAGAAAUGAUAAUUAUCAAUAAUCUUUUUAACUCAGGCGUAUAAUCAAGAGUAAAAAUUUAAAAAUUAAAACUUAAAAAUAUAACUUUAAAUUAACGAUUAGCUAUUUCAGUUAUUCUUAUGCUUUAUAUUGAAACUUUUUAAAUACAUGUACUCCUAAUUUUUCGGAGUUCGACCAGACCGAAAUGAACGCUAAUAGCAUUGAGCUUUACGCAAUAGUAAAUAGUAAGCAAGUAUUGCAAUAGUAAAUAGUAAGCAAGUAUUGCAAUAGUAAAUAGUAAGCAAGUAUUGCAAUAGUAAAUAGUAAGCAAGUAUUGCAAUAGUAAAAAGUAAGCAAGUAUUGAAAAAGUUAGCUUGAGCUUUACGUACAACUAUUUUCUUGUACAGACAAACACUAUAAAUUCAAAUAAGUGCAAUUAGUAGUUCAUAAUCCUAGAAGUUUUUUCAGGUCAAUCAAA